rfam:Rattus norvegicus chromosome 2, whole genome shotgun sequence.
GGGGAUUUAGCUCAGUGGUAGAGCGCUUGCCUAGGAAGCUCGAGGCCCUGGGUUCGGUCCCCAGCUCCA